rnacentral:rRNA from 1 species
AACGAACGCUGGCGGCAGGCUUAACACAUGCAAGUCGAACGCCCCGCAAGGGGAGUGACAGACGGGUGAGUAACGCGUGGGAACGUGCCCUUCGCUUCGGAAUAGCCCCGGGAAACUGGGAGUAAUACCGAAUACGCCGUAUUGGGAAAGAUUUAUCGGCGAAGGAUGGGCCCGCGUUAGAUUAGCUAGUUGGCGGUGUAAUGGACCACCAAGGCUACGAUCUAUAGCUGGUCUGAGAGGAUGAUCAGCCACACUGGGACUGGGACACGGCCCAGACUCCUACGGGAGGCAGCAGUGGGGAAUCUUGGACAAUGGGCGCAAGUCUGAUCAGCCAUGCCGCGUGAGUGAAGAAGGCCUUAGGGUUGUAAAACUCUUUCGCCGGAGAAGAUAAUGAUGGUAUCCGGAGAAGAAGCCCCGGCUAACUUCGUGCCAGCCGCCGCCGUAACAC